AACGAACGCUGGCGGCAUGCCUAACACAUGCAAGUCGAACGCCCCGCAAGGGGAGUGGCGAGCGGGUGAGUAACGCGUGGGAACCCACCCAGCAGUUGGGGAUAACCGCGGGAAACUACGGCUAAUACCGAAUACGUCCUAUGGGAGAAAGAUUUAUCGCUGUUGGAGGGGCCCGCGUCGGAUUAGCUAGUUGGUGAGGUAACGGCUCACCAAGGCUUCGAUCCGUAGCUGGUCUGAGAGGAUGAUCAGCCACACUGGGACUUAGACACGGCCCAGACUCCUACGGGAGGCAGCAGUGGGGAAUAUUGGACAAUGGGGGCAACCCUGAUCCAGCAAUGCCGCGUGAGUGAUGAAGGCCUUAGGGUUGUAAAGCUCUUUUGCCGGGGACGAUGAUGACGGUACCCGGAGAAUAAGCCCCGGCUAACUUCGUGCCAGCCGCCGCGUAA
rnacentral:rRNA from 1 species